AUUGAACGCUGGCGGCAUGCCUAACACAUUCAAGUCGAGCGGAGCGGCGGACGGGUGAGUAAUGCCUAGGAAUCUGCCUGGUAGUGGGGGAUAACGUCCGUCAACGGACGCUAAUACCGCAUACUAUCAGAUGAGCCUAGGUCGGAUUAGCUAGUUGGUGGGGUAAAGGCCUACCAAGGCGACGAUCCGUAACUGGUCUGAGAGGAUGAUCAUGCCCACUGGAACUGAGAAACGGUCCAGACUCCUACGGGAGGCAGCAGUGGGGAAUAGUGGAAAAGUGGCGAAAGCCUGAUCCAGCCAUGCCGCGUGUGUGAAGAAGGUCUUCGGAUUGUAAAGCACUUUAAGUUGGGAGGCGUUACCAACAGAAUAAGCACCGGCUAACUUCGUGCCAGCAGCCGCGGUAAUAC
rnacentral:rRNA from 1 species